rnacentral:rRNA from 1 species
UGGAAGCUUGCCUAUGCCUAGCAAUGUCAUUCGGAGAGAGAGUGGGGCUCCUCCCUCUCGGUGGCCAACGGGAUGAGUCACGCGUGUAAAUCCCCUGUCUUUGAAAGGGAGAUCUGUGCCAGAAGAGAUAUCUUAUACCCUAUAUGUCGCUCUUUUGUCUCUAAGGCAAAAGGUAAAACCAAGGUUGCUCAAGGCUUCGGUUCAAAAAGGGGUUCCCGUCCUAUCAGGUAUUUGGGGGGGUAAUGCCCUACCAACCCAAUGACGGGUACCUGGCCUUAAAGAAUAAUCACCCCCAUGGGAACUAAAACACGGCCCGCACCCCUACGGGGGGCACCAUUGGGAAAUCUGGGGCAAGGGGCCCAAGCCUAACCCCCCAUUGCCCCUUGAGGAAAAAACCCCUUCGGGGGGUAAACCUCUGUCAAAUGGAAAAAUGGAACUAGGGGCUAUUACCUCCUGGUCUUGACGGUCCCUUCAAAGGAAGGAACGGUUAAUUCCUUGCCACCACCCCCGGUAUU